GAAGAAUCUUGGGUUCGCAUCCGCGCCGUGACAAAAUCAGAAGAAAAAGUGGCGGCUUUCCUUCCAGACAGCAGGUGGUGCUGAAUAAUGAUGUUCAGGUAAAGCCUGGUGAAGGGAGAGCUGCCACCUGUGUUAAGAGUGCCUCGACAGAGUGGCCCCACGACUCAACUCCCACCCCACCUUCAAGCAGUCAGUGAUCGUGCUGAGGCUAAAAAAAUUUGGAAUUGGACUUCAAUGUGCAUUCAAAAGGAGCUGAGCAGCAUUUGAUGAGUAUACUUGGUUGCAAGCCAUCCAAGUGGUCAGCAAUGAAGCAGAUCCCUGUUUGCAUUGACAGGAAGAAGAACAGAAGACCCUCUUCACCGCAACUCCAUCAACAGUGGAAUACACUGGUGAUGUGGUAUUAAUUUGCGAAGUUCUUUUUUCAGAGUGAAUGGAAUUUCGUGAUAGGAGACAAAACAGGGUUUCCUAACAAGGCCUGUUGUCCAUCAAAAGUAAGAGGAGAAAAGUAGGAACACUUGUAGCUCUUCUAUUCCAAUAGUUAUCAUUGUCUAUUUUCAGUGAAGUGGACGAGUUCUGU